CAGCACCUCAAGUGGUCAGGAUGAUUAUUGGGCCUAAAGCAUCCGUAGCCGGCGCUGUAAGUUUUCGGUUAAAUCUGUACGCUCAACGUACAGGCUGCCGGGAAUACUGCAGCGCUAGGGAGUGGGAGAGGUAGACGGUACUCGGUAGGAAGGGGUAAAAUCCUUUGAUCUAUUGAUGACCACCUGUGGCGAAGGCGGUCUACCAGAACACGUCCGACGGUGAGGGAUGAAAGCUGGGGGAGCAAACCGGAUUAGAGACCCGAGAGUCC
rnacentral:rRNA from 1 species